rnacentral:rRNA from 1 species
GAUAAACGCUGGCGGCGUGCAUAACACAUGCAAGUCGAACGAAGUGGCGAACGGGUGAGUAACACGUGAGUAACCUGCCUUACACAAGGGGAUAGCCUUUGGAAACGAAGAAUAAUACCAUAUAGUGUAAGAUGGACUUGCGUCUGAUUGUCUAGUUGUUGAGAUAGAGGCCCACCAAGGCAACGAUCAGUAGCCGGGUUGUAGGAGUGUACGGCCACAUUGGGACUGAGACACGGCGCAAACUCGACUGGAGGCAGCAGUGGGGAAUUUUGCACAAUGGGGGAAACCCUGAGGCAGCUACGCCGCGUGAUUUAGAAGGCCUUCGGGAUGUAGAAAACUUUUUUAUGGGAUGCAGUACCAUAAGAAUAAGGUCCGGCUAAAUACGUGCCAGCCGCCGCGGUAAUAC